rnacentral:rRNA from 1 species
GACAGAGGCCUCAAGCGUUAGGCGGAAUCACUGGGCUUAAAGCGUGUGUAGGCGGAUCGUUAAGUGUCUUGUGAAAUCCCACGGCUCACCCGUGGAACGGCUGGGCAUACUGGCGAUCUUGGGCCAACUAGGGGCAACUGGAACAAGCGGUGGAGCGGUGAAAUGCGUAGAUAUCGCUUGGAACGCCAAAGGUGAAAACAGGUUGCUGGGGUUGUGCCGAC